rnacentral:lncRNA from 1 species
AAUACUGCUGAAGCAAUUGUACAUACACAGGUAAAUAAAUAAACCUUGACCUAUCUGACACCUUAUACAAAAGUUAACUCAAGAUGCAUAAUGGACUUAAAUACAAAAUGUUAUGCUAUAAAAUUUUAAGGAAAUAAACACAGGAGAAUAUCUUCAGGACAUAGGACUAAGGAAAGAGUUCUUAGACCUGACACCAAAAGCAUAAUUCAUAAAAGGGAAAGUUAAUAAAUUAAACUUUAUCAAAAUGAUAAAGUUUUACUUUGCCAAAACUCUGCAGAGAUCAUACACUAAAUUCUUAUAUGUAUUUUGGCCUAUUUCUGUAACAUUGAUCUGCUUUUCUGUUCAUGUGCCAGUAGCACAGCCUUAAAGACUAAUACAACUUUAAACAGGCACAAUGAAUAUAGACAAUGAAUAAAUGAACCUUUAAAAAUUAUGUAUUUUGUUUUGUGAAUAUCAUAAGUAUAUGUCAUUGCAUUUUUUACAUUCAAGGUGUUGGUUUAGUCAGUGUAUGUGUUUAAAAUACAGCAUAAUUUUGGUAACUGUUAUAGGAUUUCCUAGUUUUUUAAUGUGUUCCCUAAAAUAUGUAGAAGUUUCCUAGUCUUCUUGGUCCCUGAGAUGCCUUGCUGGAAGAUGGUAUAAAAAUGGUAUAAUAAAAGAAUAGAAAACAAGAGGAAGUGAUGCAUGAGCAAUGAGCCCUUAAAUAUUAGGGACUAAAAACACGGCCCCACAAAUGCUAGGCUCCAGUCCACACCCCUGAUAGGACCUUAAGUUCUUUGUUGGUCUAUCCUCAGCACUGAGAAUUAUACCUGCCACAUAGUAGGUGCUCAACAAUUUUGUGUUAAAUGUAAUUUCCUGGGGAAGAAAUGAAUCAGAAGUAAGAGAAAGGCAGAGUCCACCCUAGCACUUCCACUGGGUAGGGAACUAUUGGUAGAAUUUCCUCCUUUUCUAUAGAAAUGGGAGACGUAGCCUUGCUUCCCCUCCAAAUUUCCAGGUGGUCUUUCUCACUUGACCCAUAAGCAAGCGGCAUAGCCACCAAACAACACACGUUGCUUGUUGGAGGUAGUGAGACUGAGUCCUGGAGCCAGGGAUGUGGUCACCUUUCCCUGCAGUCCUUUCCCACAGUGGGAAAUAAUCUUGGAUUUGAUCUGCCAUCUGCGCACAGGGAGGCAUCAAGUUGUUGGCUGGGUAUCAGCUCUGAUCCAGGCUGGGCUCAGUUAGGCGGUUCUCCUGUUCUCAUCCAUGUGCCUGUGGCCCGUAGGGGCUUGACUCUGCUCCACAUGCCUCUCCUCCUCUUCUGAAAACAUCAGGCCAGUCCAGGCAUGUCACUCUAUCCUUUCACCAGGGAAAAGGCAGAGGGUUUCUUUGCCAGUAAUUUGCAUUCCUGU